rnacentral:rRNA from 1 species
AGCGAACGCUGGCGGCAGGCCUAAUACAUGCAAGUCGAACGGUCUCUUCGGAGGCAGUGGCGGACGGGUGAGUAACGCGUGGGAAUAUGCCCUUUGGUACAGAACAACUGAGGGAAACUUCAGCUAAUACCGUAUGUGCCCUUCGGGGGAAAGAUUUAUCGCCAUUGGAGUAGCCCGCGUUGGAUUAGGUAGUUGGUGGGGUAAAGGCCUACCAAGCCUACGAUCCAUAGCUGGUCUGAGAGGAUGAUCAGCCACACUGGGACUGAGACACGGCCCAGACUCCUACGGGAGGCAGCAGUAGGGAAUCUUGCGCAAUGGGCGAAAGCCUGACGCAGCCAUGCCGCGUGAAUGAUGAAGGUCUUAGGAUUGUAAAAUUCUUUCACCGGGGGAAGAUAAUGACGGUACCCGGAGAAGAAGCCCCGGCUAACUUCGUGCCAGCAGCCGCGGU